rnacentral:rRNA from 1 species
UACGAGGGGGGCAAGCGUUGUUCGGAAUUAUCGGGCGUAAAGGGUGCGUAGGCGGUUUGGUAAGUCUUAUGUGAAAUCUACAGGCUCAACUUGUAGUCUGCAUGAGAAACUGCCGGGCUUGAGUAUGGGAGAGGUGAGUGGAAUUCCUGGUGUAGCGGUGAAAUGCGUAGAUAUCUGGAGGAACACCGGUGGCGAAGGCGGCAUUCUGGACCAUAACUGACACUGAGAGACGAAAGCCAGGGGAGCAAACGGG